rnacentral:rRNA from 1 species
GAUGAACGCUGGCGGCGUGCCUAAUACAUGCAAGUCGAGCGAACAGACGAGGAGCUUGCUCCUCUGACGUUAGCGGCGGACGGGUGAGUAACACGUGGAUAACCUACCUAUAAGACUGGGAUAACUUCGGGAAACCGGAGCUAAUACCGGAUAAUAUAUUGAACCGCAUGGUUCAAUAGUGAAAGACGGUUUUGCUGUCACUUAUAGAUGGAUCCGCGCCGCAUUAGCUAGUUGGUAAGGUAACGGCUUACCAAGGCGACGAUGCGUAGCCGACCUGAGAGGGUGAUCGGCCACACUGGAACUGAGACAAGGUCCAGACUCCUACGGGAGGCAGCAGUAGGGAAUCUUCCGCAAAGGGCGAAAGCCUGACGGAGCAACGCCGCGUGAGUGAUGAAGGUCUUCGGAUCGUAAAACUCUGUUAUUAGGGAAGAACAAAUGUGUAAGUAACUAUGCACGUCUUGACGGUACCUAAUCAGAAAGCCACGGCUAACUACGUG